GCCUUCAGGCGUUUGGACUCAGUGGAGGUUGUGAGUGCCCAGCAGUGUGGCCUGAAUCUCCGUGGGGUUUAGGGAGACGAAAGGACCCCAGAUCGACGUCCCCUCGUUCCCACUUUGGGGAUCGGCGCUCUGGCUGUUUCGUGAAGGAGAGAGAGGAACUCAGAGUGGUUUUCCAGAUGGGAAUCACAUUGCUCUCUGUCCCUGAGAUCUUGCUGGAGACAGGGCUACUCAGUCCCUCUUUGCCAGAUUGAUACUGGAAAAGCAGUUUCUAUUGAGCCCCCAAAUGAAGAGUGAGUGCAGAUGAAGAGGAGGCAGGACUCACAAGCCCUUGAACUUUAUUCCAGAUCUGUUAGCACCUACAGGACCCUGCACCAGGAUUUCAUCUGUACUAUCAGCUUCUUCAAAGAGAGAGAGAUUGAUAUUGGAAAAGCAGUUUCCCAUUGAGUCUCAAAUGAAGAGAGUGCAGAUGAAGAGGAGGUAGGAGUCACAAGCCCUUGACCCUCAUGCUAGACCCAUUACCACCCACAGGACCUUGCAGUGGGAUUUCAUCUGCACCAUCAGCUUCUUCAGAGAGAGAGGUUGUUGAAAGACUCUGUAUUGAACCAAGGUGCUCUACACAGUAGCCCCUACUAAGCUCCCAGCAGAUGCCAGCAUCAGUCAUCCAUCUCUUCAUGUGGAUGUCUGAGCUCAUAUCAGGUGUCUGAAAGAGGCAGAUUCUGAGGAUUUGGGUCAUGAUGGCUGCCAAAGCUUCUACUCCUGACUUAAAGGGCAACAAUCCUAGGAGACCACCAGCACUUACAUCCCUGGUAGGACAUGACACCUGCUUAUGGCUCAGAAGUGACAAAAGAGAAUUAUCAGGAUGGCAGUCCUUAUAACCAGAUGCUUAUCAACAUUCUUCACUACAUUCUGAAGAUGAAUUUCUACAAGGGAAAUUGUUUAUGUAAGUGGUGUGUACCCUUUGAUAUGUAUUGACAUAGUGGCACACAUAGAGUUGUGCCAUUUAAACUCCCCAAGGGGAGGCAUGUGAGGUCGGCCACAGAGGACUGAAGAAAUUAGUUAAUGCUGACAUCCUAUCACAUAGGGUGGGUCCUGGACUCCGUCAUGGACCUGCUGUCAUGCCAUUGCCACAAUUGGAAGACGUGGAAGUGAUCAGAUGCAAUCAAAUUUUGUACACAAGCACAUCCUGAUGUAGCGAUGAGGGAAAGGGGGAAGAGGAAUGAUCAUUGCUUGGACUUACAGGACAGAGGCAGAAGGGCUAGGACACAGGCACUCUUUAUACGCAUUCUUUUUUUUUUUUUUUUUUUGAGACGGAGUAUCGCCUGUUGCCAGGCUGGAAUGCAAUGGUGUGAUCUCAGCUCACUGCAACCUCCGCCUCCUGGGUUCAAGCGAUUCUCCUGCCUCAGCCUCCUGAGUAGCUAGGACUGUAGGCACGCACCACCACGCCCAGCUAAUUUUUUGUAUUUUUAGUAUAGUCGAGGUUUCACCAUGUUGGCCAGGAUGGUCUCCAUCUCUUGAGCUCGUAAUCCGCCUGCCUCGGCCUUCUACAGUGCUGGGAUUACAGGCGUCAGCCACCACACCCGGCCCUAUAUGCAUUCAUUUUUAUGUAAAACAUAUGCAUCAAUUCUUUUGUAUGAAAACGUUUGGUCAUUACUGUGGUACAACAGAAGACCAGGUCAGUACCAUAUUUUUUUUUCAUAUGUACACGGAUUUUUAUUUUGUUUUAGACAUUGUCUUACACACAAUAGACAUUCAGUAUUUGUUGAAAUUAAUGAAAGAAAAGAGAAACAUGAAAACGGUCUGAGAAGACAAUAAUCUGCUUUUUAAUUUAUAGACAGCAAUUAGGUCAAACAAUUAUAGCAAUGAUGACAAAGAACAAUAUCUGAGGUACACUCAAAACCUUAUGAGGGUUAUUUGCCAGUUUUCCUGGCUAUUUCUACACCCUUUGAUCUCUAGUGAAUGUUUCUACUUACAACUACAUAUUUUGUAAGUUUUGCCUACUGUAUUUCAAUCAACACUGUAAAAAAUGAAGAGAGUCUUUUUGGUUCAAAUUUGGUUUUUAGUUAAUUAUGUGAUGUGUAUAUGAUUUUUUGUUACCUUUUCUGUAUAGAUAUCAGGAGAAUCGAAAAUAUGUUGAUGGUGGAAUUGUGGUAUGACAUUUUUACUGACUACUACUCUGCAAAAGUUUUAUCUAUGAGCUCUAUGGGUUGUUCCUGGCUUUUGAAAAUUUACUUUAAGGAAGUGUUUUUGGAAAUGGAUUAUAAGUAUACAAGUAUGCAAUCUUAUGUAUUUGCAACUGUCUAAGAUGUUAUGAUACUUUCCUCCCUGCAAUCUGGCAUUCAUCCAUUCAAGACAUUUUAAUUGAACUCUUACAAUGUUCUUAAUACUAUGAUAAGCCCUGAAGGUAAACUGUGACUAAAAAUGUUGCAGGAUAAAAUACAGGAUUCCUAGUUAAAUUUGAAUUUUAGAUAAACAACAUUCUUAUACUAAAAAUUAUUCCAUGUUUAUCUGAAAUUCAAAUUUAGCUGAGUGUCCUGUAACUUUUUAUUUUAUUUGUUUACUUGUUUGUCUGUGAUAAAUAUGGCAGCCCUAGUAAAAAUAAAUAUAGCCCCUGAUUUAUUCUAAUUUACUCUUUGGUUGGCAAGGAAGGCACUAAUCAAAUAAACCUGCAGAUAAAUGAAAAAUUGCAACUGAGAUAAGUAUGAACAAGAAUAAAUUCAAAGCUGAAGAAGAAGAAAAUAAUUGGAAGAGAAACCUUGUCAGAAAGGGGACUUCGAAGCUCUAUGGAAGUGUCAAUGGACCCACAAUACAGUGGGGAAGGAAAGAGAUGCUCUGGCACUCUUUCUUUUAAAUGACAGUUUUAUAUUCAACUUUAAUGGUACAAGCAGUAGAAAGCCUGGCUGCUCACAGAGAUGCAGAAAACACUCAAAGCCUUGUUUCAGGACCCACCCACUAUCUUUCCCAUUUGGCAUCUGACUCAUAAUGAAGCCAGAGGCUGCAAGUUUUAGACGUAUGCAAAGGUGGUACAUUUCAAUAUUCAAUUCCAAUUAAUAUGGAUAUUUUCUGGGGUCAGAGAAGGAAAGGUUAUUUGUCCCAUCAGGCCACUGGCCUUUGCUCCUACCAGAAGUGAGAGGAACCAUGCCUGUUUUUAAAUAACAGGGAAGACUUUUUCAGCACAGGCUGGUGGGAAAGACACAAAUCUAUCUAGUCACCUGGGAGCUGUCAGACAGGAAUGUUGCAAGUGACUACACCUUGCAGUGCCUCUGGCAGGAUUAGGACUCUCAAACUUUCCCAAUAGCCCAGCUUGUGAUUCCUUCUUGCUUUCCAAGUUGCCAUAUGCAUGCAAUAUUUAAAAAUGGUCUUGGACAGUUUGUAUUAAUUACUCAGAAUUUGAAUAUGCUCAUUGUUUAUCAUCAUUAUAAUAACAGUCCUACCUCAGGUUUAUAUGUUUAUUCCCAUAUAUUUGGGUUCCUUUAAUUAUCUUAUGUAUUUUUAUGAUGUCUGCAAAAUAAAAGGGGAAUGAGUGUUAUUAUACCAAUUUUUAUGGAUGCGGGAACCUGAGCAUAGCCUCUCUAAAUAAGUUGCUAAAGUCAUUUUUCUGAUACAAUCCACAACCAGAUUGACUGCUUACCUAGACUCUUAGCUUUGUCUGGAGCUGUAUCAAGCUAGUUAGAAGUGCAAAGUCUAAAUUUAUUGAC
ensembl:lncRNA LINC00630 long intergenic non-protein coding RNA 630